AGAGUUUGAUCCUGGCUCAGGACGAACGCUGGCGGCGUGCUUAACACAUGCAAGUCGAACGGUGAUGAUGGGAGCUUGCUCCUGUCUGAUCAGUGGCGAACGGGUGAGUAACACGUGAGUAACCUGCCCCAGACUCUGGAAUAACCCCGGGAAACCGGAGCUAAUACCGGAUAUGACACCAAUCUGCAUGGAUAUGGUGUGGAAAGUUUUUCGGUCUGGGAUGGACUCGCGGCCUAUCAGCUUGUUGGUGAGGUAAUGGCUCACCAAGGCGACGACGGGUAGCCGGCCUGAGAGGGCGACCGGCCACACUGGGACUGAGACACGGCCCAGACUCCUACGGGAGGCAGCAGUGGGGAAUAUUGCACAAUGGGCGCAAGCCUGAUGCAGCGACGCCGCGUGAGGGAUGACGGCCUUCGGGUUGUAAACCUCUUUCAGCAGGGAAGAAGCGCAAGUGACGGUACCUGCAGAAGAAGCACCGGCUAACUACGUGCCAGCAGCCGCGGUA
rnacentral:rRNA from 1 species